ACUUAACCCUGAUAGGAAUGAAAAUAAAAAACCUUUCUGGUGUUCAGAAAGGUUUUUUUAUUGUAAUGGAUAGCAGGAAUACGG
rnacentral:sRNA from 1 species